rnacentral:rRNA from 1 species
GACGAACGCUGGCGGCGUGCUUAACACAUGCAAGUCGAACGGAAAGGCCCUGCUUUUGUGGGGUGCUCGAGUGGCGAACGGGUGAGUAACACGUGAGUAACCUGCCCUUGACUUUGGGAUAACUUCAGGAAACUGGGGCUAAUACCGGAUAGGAGCUCCUGCUGCAUGGUGGGGGUUGGAAAGUUUCGGCGGUUGGGGAUGGACUCGCGGCUUAUCAGCUUGUUGGUGGGGUAGUGGCUUACCAAGGCUUUGACGGGUAGCCGGCCUGAGAGGGUGACCGGCCACAUUGGGACUGAGAUACGGCCCAGACUCCGGGAGGCAGCAGUGGGGAAUAUUGCACAAUGGGCGGAAGCCUGAUGCAGCAACGCCGCGUGCGGGAUGACGGCCUUCGGGUUGUAAACCGCUUUCGCCUGUGACGAAGCGUGAGUGACGGUAAUGGGUAAAGAAGCACCGGCUAACUACGUG